UCCAAAGCAAUUACAUGAUUUCGGAGUGAACGAGCAGAACCCAAACGGCCGAUUUGGGAUAUUGCAAUUGAUCGCGUAACAACACGGCGACGGCGUGCAGUAUUUACCGCCACCGGCGCCGCCGUUGCCACCGCCGGAGUUGCAGCAGGUGCAGAGUGAACAAAUCUGGAAACCGUUGAGUUUCCGGCGAACGUCGUUGAACGGAGAAGUCAUGAGAUUCCGUCUUCCGGGCUCUAUUAACGGCACCAUUGUUUCUUCCGCCUGAAAAGUAGAAAUCAGAAGUUAAAAUUAGUGAGAAGAUCUGGAGGGAUGGAGGAGAGAGAGGGAAACUUACAUGGGGGAAUUGAAUUGGGGUUAAGAGGAUGAAGAAGAAGAUGGAGUGAAGGAUGGUAGGAGACAUGGUUGUGUGUAAUGAUGAUGGAUGUACGUCUAUUUUGAUAUUCACUAGGUUUGUUUCAGUCGUGCGUUGCGGCGAAACGAAACGAAGCAAAUCAUAAUGUAAAACAAACGUUAUUUGAAAAUGUAGCAUGUUGUUUAGA
rnacentral:lncRNA from 1 species